rnacentral:tRNA from 1 species
UCUUCAUUGGUCUAGUGGUCAUGAUUUCCGCUUGUCAUUGUCUCAAUCCAAGCGCGGGAGACCUGGGUUCGAUUCCCAGAUGGAGAG